CACCCGCAGCUCAAGUGGUAGUCACUUUUAUUGAGCCUAAAGCGUUCGUAGCCGGUUUUGUAAAUCCUCAGACAAAUUCUCCUGCUUAACGGGAGAUACUCUGGAGAGACUGCGAAACUAGGGACCGGGUGAGGUUGAAGGUACUUCUGGGGUAGGGGUAAAAUCCUGUAAUCCUGGAAGGACGACCAGUGGCGAAGGCGUUCAACUAGAACGGAUCCGACGGUGAGGAACGAGGGCUAGGGGAGCAAACCGGAUUAGAUACCCGGGUAGUCCUAGCUGUAAACACUGCCCACUUGGUGUUGCUUCUUCUAUAGGGGGGAGCAGUGCCGGAGCGAAGGUGUUAAGUGGGCCGCUUGGGGAGUAUGGUCGCAAGGCUGAAACUUAAAGGAAUUGGCGGGGGAGCACCGCAACGGGAGGAGCGUGCGGUUUAAUUGGAUUCAACGCCGGAAAACUCACCGGGAGCGACCUUUGGAUGAGAGUCAACUUGAUGAGUUUACUCGAUAGAAGGAGAGGUGGUGCAUGGCCGUCGUCAGCUCGUACCGUAGGGCGUUCACUUAAGUGUGAUAACGAGCGAGACCCCCAUCCUUAAUUGCAAAUCUCAGGGUGACUUGAUAUGCACUUUAAGGAGACCGCCAGCGCUAAGCUGGAGGAAGGAGAGGUCGACGGCAGGUCAGUACGCCCCGAAUCUCCCGGGCUACGCGCGCGCUACAAAGGACAGGACAAUGAGUUGCGACCUCGAAAGAGGGAGCUAACCUCGAAACCUGUUCGUAGUUAGGAUUGAGGGCUGUAACUCGCCCUCAUGAAUGUGGAUUCCGUAGUAAUCGCGGGUCAACAGCCCGCGGUGAAUAUGCCCCUGCUCCU
rnacentral:rRNA from 1 species